rnacentral:rRNA from 1 species
GACGAACGCUGGCGGCGUGCUUAACACAUGCAAGUCGAACGGAAAGGUCCUGCUGUUGUGGGGUGCUCGAGUGGCGAACGGGGGAGUAACACGGGAGUAACCUGCCCUUGACGUUGUGAUAACUUCAGGAAACUGGGGCUAAUACCGGAUAUGAGCUCGUGCUGCGUGGUGGGGGUUGGAAAGUUUAGGUGGUUGGGGAUGGACUCGCGGCUUAUCAGCUUGUUGGUGGGGUGGUGGCUUACCAAGGUUUUGACGGGUAGCCGGCCUGGGAGGGUGACCGGCCACAUUGGGACUGAGAUACGGCGCAGACUCCUACGGGAGGCAGCAGUGGGGAGUAUUGCACAAUGGGCGGAAGCCUGAUGCAGCAACGCCGCGUGCGGGAUGACGGCCUUCGGGUUGUAAACCGCUUUCGCAUGUGACGAAGCGUGAGUGACGGUACCGGGUAAAGAAGCAACGGCUAACUACGUG